rnacentral:piRNA from 1 species
UGGGUCUCAUAUCUUAAUUCA